CUCCGUGCCUGUCCACCGAACCGCCGGCAGGCGAUCCGCGUCGGUCGCGCGAGUUGGUGCAUGCAUGGUUAUUACCCAGAGGCCGGUUCUUGUGUUGCCUACCCAUUGAGGGGAAGCACGGGCCACUUGAUGUAAGCCUCCAUCCGGCGCCUCCGAAAGGGCGCCGGAGGACAGCGGAGCACCCCCCGCGUUCCACCGAGCCCUCGUCGGUCGCGUGGCCCGCGGGGACGUGCGAUGCUCUCGGACCCAGCGCACGCCGUGGGCGAGGACUCACGUCCCAGUCCCAAGAGAAGCUUCGAAGCAAUGUUGACGGCCGCUCCCGACCCCGACCGCCCCGGCGGCGCGGGGCGAGGCGCGGCGUCGCGGAGGAAUGCUACCU
rnacentral:misc_RNA from 1 species